CCUACGGGAGGCAGCAGUGGGGGAUAUUGGACAAUGGGGGAAACCCUGAUCCAGCGACGCCGCGUGAGUGAAGAAGUAUUUCGGUAUGUAAAGCUCUGUUAGCAGGGAAGAAAGAAAUGACGGUACUUGACCAAGAAGCCCCGGCUAACUACGUGCCAGCAGCCGCGGUAAUACGUAGGGGGCAAGCGUUAUCCGGAAUUACUGGGUGUAAAGGGAGCGUAGACGGUGAGGCAAGUCUGGGGUGAAAGGCGGGGGCCCAACCCCCGGACUGCUUUGGAAACUGUGUGACUUGAGUGGAGGAGAGGUAAGCGGAAUUCCUGGUGUAGCGGUGAAAUGCGUAGAUAUUAGGAGGAACACCAGUGGCGAAGGCGGCUUACUGGACUGUAACUGACGUUGAGGCUCGAAAGCGUGGGGAGCAAACAGGAUUAGAUACCCGAGUAGUC
rnacentral:rRNA from 1 species